rnacentral:rRNA from 1 species
AUGGCGGCGGCGGCCAACUGGGUUCCCAUGGGCGACGGCCUCCGCCUGGAGACGGCGAGGGCGGUGGCCAAGGCGCACGGCGUUCCCCUCGACGUGGUGCUCAAGGGCUGCUACGUGGACGCGGUGGACGGGCCGGACGGCUUCCCGGAUCUCCACGGCGUGGAGGACCACGUCACGGUCACCAAUCAGGCCGACGGGCGGCAUCUCAUCAAGUUCGCCAACUACGAUGCCUUCGAAGCAGCCUGCGAGGCGCCGACGGCCCCGGGACAGCAGGAGGAGCAGGACGACGCCAGGCUCACCGUGGUCAUCAUGCCCUACGCCGACCACGACUCGUGCGACAAGCUCCAGGAUCUGGCGGCGUAUCCCGAGUUUGGGUACGCCAAGAUCGACGUAGCCAACUACGACAUGCUGCUGUGGAAGAAGAGAGACAUGGCCGCCCUCAACGAGGAAGCGGACAAGUGCCGCCAGCUCGGCACCGAGAUGGAGAUGAUGGUGAGAAGGCUCCUUCCGGCGGACAAGUGGCGCCGGCUGGGGACGGGGAGCGGCGACGGCAAGAUCGCCAGGGAAAGGCUGCUGAAAUCGCACCUCGACGCCAGGCGGUAUGGGGACGCGCACGAGCUGCUCCUGCUGCUCGACAAGGGGAAGCACGACGCCUUCUUCGGAGUGGCCGGGUGCUACGACCCGUGCCGCCCCGGUGACAACGCUGCUUCGGGUGAUCGUGCCGCCGCAGAGAAACAGGCGACCGCCGAUCUCCUCGAGCGCUACAAAGAGGAGCUAGACGAAAGAUAUGGUGCUCACCCACUACACCCGUAUCCCGAGCGCGCAGAUAUCCUCAAGAUGGAGGCCCGGAACAAGCUCAGAAGGGAAUUGGCCAACGCGCGCAGGGAGGUUCAAGACAUUGUUGAGACUGCAACACGAGAGAUCGAGCGUAUAGCUGACCAACUCGAAGCCAUGGGGGUCGAGCCUAGACUUCUUGGCUGCGGCAUAUGA